GGGUGGUUCGUAGUAUCUUCCGUCUUCUUGGGUUCUUCGUCUCUCAUUCUCCAUCAGUCUCUUCUCCUUUGAGGUAGUUCACUGAAUUAGUAAACUCCUUCUCUAUGCAACAAGGGAGAGGUGGAAAGCAACUUGGCUAGAUUUGUGGUAAUAAACUAAUAGGUGAAAAGUUAAAUGUUGGAGACCCACAUUGUUCUUUCAUUCAAGCAUUGUUGAUAGCUCAAGGUUUUGAUCCAUCCAAGCUUGUAAAUUAUAACAUACUGCACCAAUUGCACUAUUAUGGUGAUUGUGAUGAAUGUGUAUGAGAGUCAAAUUUAUUAAAAUUAGUUAUCUUGCAAUCACCAUUGAAAAGAAAGAAGAAAUACACAAAAAGAAGAUUCGACCCGACCCGAUCCAUUUUGACCCGACCCAAAUUCAGGUCAGGUUGGAUCAUAACAGUAAGAAAUCCAUGCAUUUCAAGUCGGGUCGGGUUGGAAGAAAAACUGACCCGACCCAGCCCAAUUAUAUCCCUAGUGUAACAUAUAUAAAUGAUCAAUGCUUGUGUUAUUGGUGUUUCUAAAUUUGUGAUUUCGAUAUUUUCUUC